rnacentral:ribozyme from 13 species
UCAUUCUCUUUCACUUUUUCUCUUUUCUCUUUCUCAAUUUUCUCUUUCUCAAUUUUCUCUUCGUUUGUUGUGUAAAGAGAGAGAAGGGGAGGAG